rnacentral:ncRNA from 1 species
UGGGAAAGGCGUAGCAAGCGAUGAAAUGUUUCGGGGAGUUGAAAAUAAACAUAGAUCCGAAGAUUCUUGAAUGGGUCAUCCUUUGGGGCUGUUGCUGAAUUCAUAAGCAAGUAAGAAAUAACCUUGCAAAUUGAAAUAUCUUAGUAGCUAGAGGCAAAAAAAACAAAAGUGAUUUCCGUAGUAGAGGCGAGCAAAAUGGGAGCAACCUAAACCGUAAAAACAGGGUUGUGGGAGAGCAAUACAAGCGUCAUGCUACUACGUGAAGGAGUUGAGUACUGCACCCUAGAUGGUGAGAGUGCACUAGCUUACGCUAUGACCCAAGUAGCAUGGGGCACAUGGAAUCCCGUGUGAAUCAGCAAGGACCACCUUGUAGGGCUAAAAA